GACAGAGGCCUCAAGCGUUAGGCGGAAUUACUGGGCUUAAAGCGUGUGUAGGCGGAUCGUUAAGUGUCUUGUGAAAUCCCACGGCUCACCCGUGGAACUGCUGGGCAUACUGGCGAUCUUGGGCCAACUAGGGGCAACUGGAACAAGCGGUGGAGCGGUGAAAUGCGUAGAUAUCGCUUGGAACGCCAAAGGUGAAAACAGGUUGCUGGGGUUGUGCCGACGCUGAGACACGAAAGCCAGGGGAGCAAACGGG
rnacentral:rRNA from 1 species